UCCUCCCAUACCUCACCAUCCAUCCCUCGUGCACCACCUUCGACGACAUAUAUAAUUCCAACUUAUCCUGUAUUCCUCUGCGAGCUGAUCCCCACAAUUCACUCUCUAAACUGCACAUAAAAACAUAGUUGUCAGAGAAUUACGUGUUUGAUAUGACAGAAGUCAUUUUUCAUGUCGAAAUUACUUACUUUUGCCAACUUAAUGAACACUAUGCGACUACAUCCAUCAUUUUCUCAAUAACUUUAGCACCAAAUAAAGAAAACUUUAUGAUCUUCAUGCAUGCAUGCAUGUAAUAUGAAUAUAUGUAUGUAUAGGUAGAGAAGGAGGAGGUGCAAGGGUAAAAGGGUGAGAGUGGCUACAAGUGAAAGGUGUAUAGAAG
rnacentral:lncRNA from 1 species